UACGUAGGGUGCGAGCGUUGUCCGGAAUUAUUGGGCGUAAAGGGCUCGUAGGCGGUUUGUCGCGUCGGGAGUGAAAACGCCGUGCUUAACACGGCGCUUGCUUUCGAUACGGGCAGACUGGAGGUAUUCAGGGGAGAACGGAAUUCCUGGUGUAGCGGUGAAAUGCGCAGAUAUCAGGAGGAACACCGGUGGCGAAGGCGGUUCUCUGGGAAUGACCUGACGCUGAGGAGCGAAAGUGUGGGGAGCGAACAGG
rnacentral:rRNA from 1 species